UAAUACGGAGGGUGCAAGCGUUACUCGGAAUCACUGGGCGUAAAGGACGCGUAGGCUGGAUGCCAAGUCUGAUGUGAAAUCCUAUGGCUUAACCAUAGAACUGCAUUGGAAACUGGUAACCUAGAGUAUGGGAGGGGGAGAUGGAAUUAGUGGUGUAGGGGUAAAAUCCGUAGAUAUCACUAGGAAUACCGAAAGCGAAGGCGAUCUCCUGGAACAAUACUGACGCUAAGGCGUGAAAGCGUGGGGAGCAAACGGGAUUAGAUACCCCGGUAGUCCACGCCCUAAACGAUGAACACUAGUCGUCGGAAUGCUAGUCAUUUCGGUGAUGCACUUAACAGAUUAAGUGUUCCGCCUGGGGAGUACGGUCGCAAGAUUA
rnacentral:rRNA from 1 species